GAUAUGUGUGGAGCGAGCUCCCGCGCGCCCACAAACCAUCUUGUUGAACAUAUAUCUCUUGUGGCGUCGGCGCGCGCGGGGGUCUUCACGGAGGCCCCCUCGAAACAGGGAGCAGCCCGCCCGCGGCCCACCAAACUCUUGUUUCUAUCACUGAAUCUUUUAAUAAAAAACAUAAAUGAAUCAAAACUUUCAACAACGGAUCUCUUGGUUCUGGCAUCGAUGAAGAACGCAGCGAAAUGCGAUAAGUAAUGUGAAUUGCAGAAUUCAGUGAAUCAUCGAAUCUUUGAACGCACAUUGCGCCCUCUGGUAUUCCGGAGGGCAUGCCUGUUCGAGCGUCAUUUACACCCUCAAGCCUGGCUUGGUGAUGGGGCACUGCCUGUAACCUGGCACGCCCUGGAAUCUAGUGGCUAGCUCACCGGGACCCCGAGCCUACUAGCUAUAUCUUUUUCUGUGAAGGCCCUGGCGGUCCGGUGGCGUUCAACCCCCAACUUCUGAAAAUUUGACCUCAGAUCAGGUAAGAAUACACGCUGAAAUUAAGCAUUAUAAACACA
rnacentral:sRNA from 1 species